CACCCCACCCUAGCCCCAGAAGAUCAGAUUCAGUUGAUCUGGAUGAGCCUAGGGCUCUACAUUUGCCACAAUCUCCGCAGUGAUCCUGAGGGAGGAGAAACCCCAGGGAAAAUAUGGCUAAUGAGGAUGAAAAAACAGACAAGAGGUGGAACUUCAAUGAAGAGGAAAACUCUUCCUAGCCUUGGUCGAGAGCGAGCACACUAAAACUCUGCCCUGAAAGAGCCUAGAGACUACCAAAACUUCACAGGACAUCUAAAGCCACUUCCAGCUGGCAGAGGUGGCCAUUUUUUC
rnacentral:lncRNA from 1 species